CUGCUAAAUUUACGGACGCUGAAACUCUAUGGUUGUCAUUCACUUAAAGAGUUACCGCGGGGCCUUAAGAAGUUGGUCAAUCUUAGGCAUUUAGACGUUAGUGAAUGUAGCGAAUUGACGCAUAUGCCCCUUGGACUUGGGCAUCUUACUUCUCUUGAGAUGCUACCGAAUUUCGUCGUGAGGCAAGUGGGUUCCAAGGCUAGGUCUGGUGGUGGGCUAAGUGAAUUGAAGGAGCUGAGCAAUUUGGGAGGAAAUCUACUCAUUGAAUAUUUGGGACAUGGAGAAGAUGACAUGGUGGAAUGUAAAGCCACAAAUAUGAAGCAGAAACAACAUCUUCAAGGGUUGGAAUUACUGUGGGAACCAUACGGGGAUGAUGGAGAAACUGAAUGUUAUGAUGAAAUGUCACUGGAAGGGCUCCAGCCACAUCCAAAUCUUAAAGCGUUGUAUUUGUGGAAUUAUAUGGGUGUGAGAAUUCCAAGUUGGGUCUCUUCUCUCACUAAUCUUGUUCAUUUUGAAUUAUAUGAUAAUAGGAGAUUGCAGCACCUCCCACCGUUAAAUCAACUCCCUUUUCUCAAGGUUGUCAGGCUUGUUCGAAUGGAAGCACUUGAAUACAUUUGGAUAGAUGAAGACAGUGUUAGUAACGUGUUGGGUGCUUCCUCUUCUUCUUCUUCUUCUUCUUCAAAAACACCAUUCUUCCCAUCCUUAUCUUUUCUAUAUAUAUCUGAAUGCCCAAAACUGAAGGGAUGGUGGAGGAAUUCAGAUGAUGAUGAUAAUGAGCCACACCAUCUCUUGCUUCCAUCAUUUCCUCCUUCUCUUUCGCAAUUAAGUAUCGUCGAUUGCCCUAACCUGACUUCCAUGCCCCUGAUUCCCCCCUCUUUGAAAGAGCCACGUAUUGAGGGUUGUCCCCUCUUACGGCUACACGAAGGAAACAGUGAAGAUUGUCCCAAAUAAUUCCAACAAGAAAAAACAAUUUAUUCAGAAUCUGAGUCAGAGUCAGCUUCUCCUACUUCAGGUAUGCAUCUCUCUUCUUCUUGUUGGUGCCUCUUGAGAUUUGGGAUAUUUUGGAGAAGUUGUUAGUUAUGUGACUUCUUAUGCUGAACCAACUGAGACAAAGAACAAGCUUGGCUUCAAAAUUCGGAACCUUUUCAAAAAUUGCAAUUGUGCAACGGCUCAAGAACUAGAACUCAGUGGUUGUUACACCAAAAACAACGCCCAAGUUUUAGAACUUUUGGUUUUUCCAAUGAUUGGUAAUUUUGGCACUUCCCUCGCUGCUAAGGCCGUGGCCUUUGGUUCUUGAAUUUGGCUGUGGAGUCCGUGUGAAAUUGAGGCAGCAAACAUGAGUAUAGGAGGGAAAGAACAUAAAAGUGGAAUCUGAUUGCAUCUUUGACUACUCUAGAACAAAUUAAGGCAAAAUUUGUACCCUGUUCUUCAAAGCUUUCUGGUCAUGGACUCAAUGGCUGUGCAGCCACUGUCUGAACAUUGGACAACAUUGAGCACAUCCUUUUCUCUAAUCACUAUGAAGAAGAGGAGCCCUACAUGUGGGCCACCACUCACGAGUAUGGAGCAUUGCAUGGUGGAUUAAUAGAAUACAUGGAGUUCUUCAGGCCUAAGAGAGGUAGUACGAGUAAGGAUGGUUGAGCUGUGAUAGACUAUUUGCCUCAAUGUCUCAAGGAGAGCCAUUGUUUUAUGUUAGUGAAGUGGCAAAUAGAGAUGACUGUUCAAGUAAGCUUGCAAUUGGUCUCAUAACUCCUUUUUCUAUAAGAGGGAUGUCAGCCAUUAUAUGGCCAUGUAGCUCCCCUUUGAAUGGUUAUCGAAUGGAGACUAUGUAACACUAAACAGACGAAGGGGAAUUUUUUACAUCAUUCUUGAAUCUAGCUAUCACAAAGAAGCUGUAAAAGAUCACAUAAUGAUUUGGAAUGCUCAGUAUUGUCCUUUUGAAGAAGUAUUAGUCAUCUUCAACAGUUUUGGAAGAGAAAAUGAGGACAAUUGAGUAGAUCUAGUUAUUUCAUCCGGAAUGCUGAAUUUGCAAUUCUCAACAUGUUGAAAUCUGUUGUCAGCUAGGCUAUCAAAUAUUUCAUUAAUUUUUCAAAUAUCAUAAGUCGGGUGGCCAACUUUGUGUUAGGCUUUAGUGGAUC